CAAACCUUCAAGAAGGGCAGAUGCUUGCAGCCUUGUGAGUGAACAUGCCUGAGAGGAGACUGCAGUCUGCCCUGGGGGGCUCCCUAGCCUUUGCUGCCUUUUUCUCUGCUUCCUGGAGUAGCUGCUGAUCGGAGGAAGCCUCUUGCCUGUUCUGGCCUCCCUCUGGCUGUGUGAGGGCAGGCAGAGGCUGCCUGACAGAGCCACGGAGCACAACUGAGCCAGGAGAGCAUUGGAUCUCUUGGAUGCUGCUGACUUCAGCCUAAACAGAGCCUGUCCUUCUGCAAACACACUUGUUAGAUUGCCUGUGCUCUCCAAAUGAAGGGCUGGUGCUUCUUGCAUGGAGAAUGUACAGACUCUCCAUGUUUCCUUUGGGUUAUCAGUGGGGUGAAGCAGGUCAGAAUGGCUCAGCUUUGAUACUUGCUGGGAAAUCAACUCUCUAAUAUUUUGUGUGAAGAUGAGAAGGUUUGGAGCAAGAUGACAAAUAGGUGCUGUAUGAGACUGUCCUUUCGGGACUGAUGUACCACAGUCCAAACCCAAAGGAUGUCUUGGGGAACCUCAGAUCCAGGUUUCACCAAUGGGUCCCACAGACUUACAUCUAGAGAAGAUUCACAGAGGGCUCUUGAACACAAUGCUCCUCUUUCCAGCAUCUGCUUCAACUGCAAAGGAUGUGGGAAAAGCUGGGCUCUGUCUCCUGGAAGCAGCAAACAUAAACCCACAACAGCAACAGAUGCAGGACCUGAUGCCCUACGUGGAGCACUGUAACAAAUAUUGCUUUCUGUCUGAGUGCUCCUCUUCCUUGCUGCAUGCCUGGGGAUGAACUUGGACAACAUGCAGCCAUGGCAAAUUUGGGCACACAGUGGACCCAGCUCCAAGGGGUUUUGUGCACUGUGCAGAUGAGCUGGAGGAUGGAAUGGGCUGUGCAGCCAUUCCUGUGGCACAGCAACAGGAUUCCCUGUGUCUGGCUCCCAUGUGGCACGCAGGGGAGCAGGAUCUGUGGGAAGGGCUGGGGCUGGCUCAGCUGGCAGAGGGCAAGAUGAUGCCAGUGAGACUUGGCUGGAAGAAGCCUUUAAAGUCAGUGUAGGUUGCUGCCUGGUGGGCUCAGCCCACAGCCACCUGCAAACCUGCAGAGGGGAGGGCUGCAUCUCACUGAGCUGU